rnacentral:misc_RNA from 1 species
UGAAAUGCGAUAAUUAAUGUGAAUUGCAUUAUCUCGUGAAUCAUCGAGUCUUUGAACGCAUCUUGCACUUUUCAGGUCUCCUGGAAAGUAUACUUGUUUGAGUAUCAUUAACAUUACCUCCAAGUUAAGUCUUGGGAAUUGAGACGCUAAGCAAUGCAUGCAUUGAUCCCCUUCUUGGGGUUCUCUGCUGCUACUGCCUAUGUCUUUUAAGUGAUAUGUAGAGUGUUGUGCUUGUCACAAGCCGCCUCAAUCAAAUGUGAGAUAAACAUCGCACAGAGUAGUUGACUGGUGGUUAAGCUUUGCUACGCCCAGAGGUCCAGUACCUCAACCCACAGCAUGAUCUGUGAUCUCAAAUCAAGUAAGACUACCCGCUGAACUUAA